UUUAUUAUUUUAUAUUUUGUUUUUCUUUUUUCCUUUUCUUUUCUUCUUCCUAUUUCUCUUCUCCUCCCGUGCGCCGCGCAACCCAGAUCUUCUCCUCUUCUCUUUCUGAUCGCAGCAACCACCGGCCGUCUCCAUUCCUCUUCUCCUUUCAUUCGUGCCCAGCCGCAGCCCAGCCGCAGCCAGCCGUCGGUCCCUUCCUUCCAUUUUCUUCUUCCGUCCGCAGCCCCGCCGCAAACCGUCGUCUCCCCUACUGAAGCCGAAUGACCGGUCUGCCGUCUCCAUCUCCGGUUCCGCGCGCCGAUCUGCCGAACCCAACCGCCACCCUCUCUUUUCUCCUUCGGAUCGAAAACCGCCGCGCCCAUCCACCGUCGUCCAGAUCUGCAUCACAACCGCCGCCGCUCGUGCUUCACCCUGGUAGUUCGCAGUAACCCAGAUCCGCCGCUUAUAACCGUCGGCCGGUUCGUGAAGCCAGCCGCGCAACCUUCGUUCCAACCGCUGCACUACCGCGCGAUUCUCCGGCCACGUCUUCUUUAGCCGACCGCUGACCGACCCACACUCUUUUCUCUUCUUUUGGGGGUAAGUUGAGAUUCCCUCUGCAAAAGUUAGAAGGGAAAGAAAAAAAAAAACUAACAAUCAUUCUCAAAUAGAAGCUUUCAACACAAAGCCCCACCCUCUGAUUUUUCUCUUCACUUCUCAACUUUAAUGUGACUCAUUUUGUUUUUGUUUGCUGUCACAUUCUUCAAUUUUUUAUUUGGGUUUUCCCCCCUCUUUUUACCUUAGAUGAAUGUUGUUGUGAAUUCUUCUUUUCUUUAUAUACAUAUGUGCAGAACCUUCAUCGUAUGAAUAUGUAAAAACAAUAGUUAUGAUCAUACUUAGAACAGAUUGAUUCUUACUAACCGAUCUCAUGCGACAAGUUGGACCAUCACUAUUGAAAUGCUUGUCGAAAAAAUGUUCAUUAGCUUAGGAUACAGUUGAAUUUCCAAAAAUUCUCUGCAUCUUGACAAGAACAUGGCUGCACGGGUUCUUCAUUUUUAUUAUCUUCUGCUGUGUGCAUUCUAAUUUGACUUGUUUAGUUUUAGUACUUUGUGGUUGCUUUUGAUUUACUUAAUCCUAACAGAGAAAUUGUCUCUGGUGCAGUUGUUGACAUCGUUGGUGAGAAGAUGGUGAUGACUGAUGAUGGACAGACAUCAUCCACUUGCCUGUAUCAUAGUUUGUGCAUUAAAGGGACCUUAUAAACUAACUGGUAAGAGUCCUAGAACGAAGAAGAAAAUGGCCAAGAAACUUUGAAGAUAUAGCAGUGGAAGCUUUUUUCUGGACCAAGCCCUUUGUUGAACUAAUGGUGAAUAUUAUUUUGGAUCGCCUGUGAGAGUGAUUUGUAAAUUUUAAGAUAAUUGGCCAUUGCUUUGUCUUAUGGUAAAUAGAGAGUAUGGCAUUGCUUUGUCUCAUAAUUUUAUUGAAUUGUGUUCUCUAACUUCGUUCUUUUAACUUUAUAAUUUUCAAUGCAAUGUUGAUAAUUUGUGAUUUCAGAGAAGGCUUGAUGACAUACACACCAUUUAUUGCAAGAACUUGAAGAAGAUGAGAUUUCAGAGAAGUUCUAAGUUUUAAUGUUAUUCUCAUUUUGUUUGUAGAUUUUAAAGAGUUGAAGAUAACAAUCGAUGAGACAUUGAGCUUUGAGUUAUGUGAGAGUUCUAUUUUAACUGAGGUAACUCUCUCUCCCUUGUUUCUUAAUUCUCUCCCUUUGCUUUCCAAAUUGCCUCCCAGGCCAUCUUGCCAUUGUGAAAUACUAUUGGAAUGUGAGUUUAUUGGAAGUUUAAUAGGUAACUGCUUAGAUUCUUCUGCUAAAGUUCAAAAUGUCCACACCUCCCAAGGAAUAACUCAUGGUAACACUCUUAUCUCCAUUUCUAUAUAUGAAUCUUUGACACUUUUCUUUUCUUCUCUUAUCAUUUAUGUUUUUCCUCUCUUUUGGCCUUAUGGUUUCUGGGUUUUCCUUGGAUUUUUCAUUACUUUGAUCUUCUGCUUGGUUUGGUUAUUUGGAAUUGUUGGUUGAUCCUACUGUUUUCUGUUGUUUGAUCCUUCCCCUCUUUUCUUUCUGGUUUUAGCAAAUUUGAACUCAGGCUGCUAGUUUUUAUGAUGUGUAUCGGUUGAAGUUUCAAGUUGUUUAUUCUGUUUGGAAAUAAAAAAAAGAUCUAGAGAGACAAAUGUAGUUUAUUAAAGUCAAUAGAGUUAAUUAUUUUAAAACUAGUACAUGUUUGAAUUCAAUAUUAUUACAUGCUUCUUGUUUUUUCUAGUUUUAGGUAGCAUAUGAGAUUUUGUCAAUGUUUGGGUAUAAUAAUCUAGUUUUUAAUGAGAUUUUGUGAAUGAAAGAUUCUGAGUACCCUUUCAUUUUUUGGACUUCCCCAUUGUAGUUCUCACUCACCUUAGUUUCUCCGUUCCCACCAUUUAAUAAUCUGUUUAACUCUAAGGAUUACAAAUUGUCGUACAUGUAUUGUCGUAGGCUGUUUUGUUCUAAGGACUAGGAACAACCCAAGAAGUUGUUCAAUUUACAGUGGCUAUUUGGUUGGACGUUCUUCUUCUCCUUGAUCUCUUUCUCCUCUUCUUAGGAACUUCAUUUUCAUUAUCAGAUUUGAAGAGGGACCACCAUGAGUGGGGUAGUAAAAUGAAUAGAGAAUUGGAGAGUGAGCUGGGUAUGUUUUUGGUAUGUGUAUUCUAGAGAGAAAGAGUAGCAGUAUGUUUUUGUUUGUUGUGUUUGCCUAAUAUAGUCCUCAUGGUCUUCUCUUUUCAUUUCAUGGAAUCAAGUGUUGAAGUUCUUGUUUGUGUUCUAUAUUUUGUUGAGACGUUGAUUUAGUUAUUCAUUGACUGUACGUAUGUGUUAUGGAUUCUUUGUAGGUUCAACUGGAGUCGACAAGUUCAUGAGUUUUGUUUCAAAUAUCAUUUCCAGAAACGAACAUUCUCGGUUGGUCCAGUCAAAUAUAUUCGAAUGCUAUUUAAGAUAUUUUUUGAUUAAGGGCUAGUAUUUCGUACAUGUGGAUUACUGAAACUUGUAUUAAGAUGUACAAAUAUUAUAAAUCGUAUUAUAGUGUAUAUAUAUUAAAGUGUUGGCUAUUUUCUUGUACAUUGGUGUGAAACUUGUAUAAUUUCAAAUUUGUCAUUCUCAGCUA
rnacentral:lncRNA from 1 species